rnacentral:lncRNA from 10 species
ACCUUCUAUUCCCAGAAUCACUAGGCGCCGGCGCCUCCGAGGCAGUGUGUUUCCGCCCAGAGCUGGAGUCUCCCAGCUGCCAGCCGACCCCGAACCCGCACUCCCGCCAACCGCGCUUUUUGUGGGCGGUCGGAAACCACAGCCUCCGUUGGAUAUGUUCGGUGCAUGUUAUAAACAACCACUUAAACCCUCCGGAUCUGAGCCUCCCGCAGAGGAAUGCAGAAUGACGCCACGGCACGCAGGAUGUGAUGUCACCGAGAUGCAGAGGAUACUCAGUCAACCAACAUUUACUGAGCAUCUACUUCGUGCCGUAUGUCUUGUCAACGGAAAGGGGUCCCUAUCCAGACCCCAAGAGAGCAUUCUUGGAUCUCUUGCAAGAAAGAAUUUGAGGCGAAUCCAUAGAGUAAGCUUAGUGAUGUGUGUCAGACCUCUGAGCCCAAGCAAAGCCAUCAUAUCCCCUGUGACCUGCAUGUAUACAUCCAGAUGGCCUGAAGCAAGUGAAGAAUCACAAAAGAAGUGAAAAGGGCCGGUUCCUGCCUUAACUGAUGACAUUCCACCAUUGUGAUUUGUUCCUGCCCCACCUUAACUGAGCGAUUAACCUGUGAACUUCCUUCUCCUGGCUCAGAAGCUUCCCCACUGAGCACCUUGUGACCCCCGCCCCUGCCUGCCAUAGAACAACCCCCUUUGAUUGUAAUUUUCCUUUACCUACCCAAAUCCUAUAAAACGGCCCCACCCCUAUCUCCCUUCGCUGACACUCUCUUUGGACUCAGCCUGCCUGCACCUAGGUGAUUAAAAAGCUUUAUUGCUCACGCAAA